UCCUCUCUUGAUGGUUUGAAAGAUUGCUUUUUAAGCUAGCUAUAUCACCACAGUGUAUAAUAAAACAUGUUUGCAGCACUUUUAUGACAACAGAAUCUCUUCGUGUUUUUCUGGCAUUAACAGCGGAGCCCAUUGCAAAGAAACCCUAGGAGACAAGAUUUGCUCAUACCUCAGAAUUUGAGAUUUGCUCUUUCUAUCUCUGUGAAGAGUUGAUUUGGAAUCUUGAUGGGGACUGCACUGAUUCUGUAGAUUGCUUAUGCCCUGGCUAUCCUGAAACUAACUCUGUGGAGCUCAAGGUCAGACAUUGGCCUUCUUCGGUAUCCCGACUGCUGGGAAGAAGAGGAUGAAGAACAGAAGUUUUGGAGUCUGGAGAGAUAGAUAACAUAGCUUUUAAGAGCAGAAACAGUGCACCAAGAGAAGAUUCACCUAGAAUUCACCACUUCACCACCAACCCAGAAACACACCAAGCUGCCCUGAGAAGCCCAUUAUUUCAGGAGGAUCUUCAGUUUUCUGUCACCUCUGUGCCCAGCAUCAUUCCACCUGCAACUCUUGAACCAUACAGCCCAAGGUUACCCAUUAGAGGGCUACCACACCAGAAUUUGAAGGUUCACCUUCCCUUUAAUACUAACUACAACAACAUCGAGGGACCAAAACCAUCCGGAUGGCCAAAGGUCCUUAGAAGAACACAA